rnacentral:lncRNA from 1 species
CAGCCCCCACACCACUAGAGGGAUGUCUCCAACCACCAACUUACCGUCCUAAGACAAGGCCGAGUAUAGCCCACAACGAUCUCCGCCAUGGCACAACCCAAGGGGGGGGCGCCAACCCAGACAGGAAGACCACCAAUGAUUAUAUUCUGCAUUUGCGUAUGUGAUGAAUGACGAUAGCUGGCAAUCAACUGCAGUGAUGGAUUAUUACCACAUAUCAUGGAAUACCUGUGUGCACGUUUAUAAGGACACAUGGCAUGGAAUUAUUGGAUUUGGCUGGAUGGUUGACACAAUAGAAAGGUAGGGCAAUAUUUUUGGGCCUUUAAAUUCUUACAAUAAGAAGACUUAAUAGCCAACACAGGUAGGCUAAUGAUAGGCUAAUCCAGUGAGAUUGUGAACUUCAACCUUUUGAAAAUGUUAUUUAACAGCAAAUAGCCUAGCAUUAUGUGAAAUGCAUUUGGUAAACUGUAUAAAAGCCACAAUCCUUAAUUCACGUUUCAGAGAAAAGGAUGAGAGAGGUGAGAGGAGUGGGAGGUGAGUUGAGGGAAGUGGGUUUCAGGUAGGAUUCUGGGUCAUUAAGUAUUCAUUGGAUUUAAAUUAUGCUGGAGGAGAGAGAGGGUUGAGAAGAUUAGACUAUUGCUUAAAGUGGAGGAGGGGUGGGAUAACAGAAGAAAGAAAGAGUGGAGAGAAGGACAGGGACAGCAUACUAAGACACACACUUCAGAGUCUGGGCUAUAAUAGGGAGCACUCCUGUCAAUCUAGAAAAGUCACAAAGCCAACCCCCUGACACACACACACACACACACACACACACACACACACACACACACACACACACACACACACACACACACACACACAGAAAGAAAGAGAAAAAGAGAUAUGUAUAAUGUUAUUCUGAGCAGCACUCCAUUGGCCAUAAGGCUAACAUAAGACCAUGCAUGUGCCUAGUCUCUAAUGCCUGGAAUAAUAGCAGACGCACGCACACACAAACAGACACACACACAUAACAGGCUGCGCCUGUGUAUAUUUGGUCCCAAAGCCGCAGAAUAAUAGCAGUCAUUACCAAGAUGAUCUCUCUCUCACACACCGUCACAUUGUCCAGCAAGUUAUUCCGAAGCCAGUGUAUCUUAUUACCCAGCAGCCCCAACACUGCUCUAUUAUUCAGGGUGGGAGGGAGGGGGAGAGAGGGAAUGUUUUAUUCAGCUGAGUCUACUGGGGAAGGAGCUGCUCACUGUGCUACUUACAACAGGCCUAUGUAGGCCAAGGAGACAAACGAAUGUACCACACACACACACACACACACACACACACACACACACAACACUAAAUUAAAUAGUCAGAUGACAUUUACCAGAUCACAGUUACUCUGACACCUUGUCUCGUCUGUGUGUGUGUCCUUGGCAACCUCUCGUUAACACACAUACACAAGCGUGACAACGGGCGGUGGUGGCUGAGUAUGAGAGAAGUCAUGUUUGGUAAAAGCCUUAGUAAGUGUCCGUCAGCUUGUGUGUGUGGGUGUUUAAUAAGCUAUGUGAGCAUGUGUGGUUUGCUCUGUGGCAGCUUUGUGUUCGAGACCACCUAAAGCGAGAUCGAUUCAAGACCGGAGAAAAUCGAGUCCGAGUCAAAACCAAGACUGGUUGGGGGGCGAGACCUAGUCAAGACCGAGACCAGAAAAAUGCGAGUCCAAUUCAAGACCAUGAUUGUAAUUGUGUCAAAUCACCACAUAAGAGUUGAAAAUGUCCAGUAUUUCUGUGUUCAUAUUUCAGAACAACAUAUGGAUGCUUUAGACAUUCAGAAUAGUGAACAAAUGGAAAAUAGAGCCACUCUACAAAUGAUUACUAACUCAAACACAGUAGAAAACAAUGGGCCUUCUAUGCCUUCAGAGAAGGGCUAAGGAUUUAUAAAAUAAUGAUUAUAGUAAUGAUAACUGUAAAAUUAUUUUCAAUGACGUUCUGAUUUAAUGUCUAUAGUUUUUGUUGAAAAGAAAAGGGUUAACACUGCUGGACUCUGGGGAGAUAAAUCUAGCUAGCUAAGUCUGCCAUUGGCUAGGCCAUCAGAAGCUAGAUAAAGGCAUCUGUCAUUCAACUGUAUUAGGGCAACAUUUUGGAGUGACAGUGGAAUCAACCAAUCACAUUUUGAUUUAAUGGGUGGGACUGUUUUUACAAAAAGGUAUGGACACUUCUGCCUUCUUGAAGGCCAACAGGUCACUUGUGAGCAAUAGUGAGCAAUAGUGAGCAGUAGUUUUUCCACGGUUUAGCUAGCUAGCUUUUGUUGUUGGCUAGUUUGCAGCGGCUACAGCAGGUGUUAUCAAAGAGGAUAGCUUCUCCCUUUUCAAGAAUAACUUUCAACAAGAAUUUAUCAUCAUCUGGUGAGUGGAACUGUGUUUUUUAUUGCAGCGUGCUUGCUGUUGUUAGCCAUCUCUUUGAAAAUAACUUGUGUAUGAAACAUUGUUGCAUUUUAAGUGGAACUGAAAGCAUUUUAGCAAUAUGAAAUCUUAUUACAAUCUGUUCAUAUACACCCACAGGAAGAAUUACACUUUAAAAAAAAAAUUCUGACAAACGACCACUUAGAUAUGGUCAUUUUCACAUUUUCCUAAAUUCAUAGUGUUUGGGAAUUAAGUAUACUAAAGGCAUGUGAAAAUUCUAUAGAAAUAUAGAGUGGGAAAGCGGCUGUGCGUUUGGACAAUUAAUAAAUAAAUAAAACCAAAUAAAAACAUCUGUCUUGUCCAGUAAUGGAGUCUACACAGAACGUUGAGCUAUAGCCAAUCAGAGCUACAGUACUGUAGGCCUUUAUAUAAACAAGACGUUUGCCACAUGGGCCUGCCAUCAUUCACUUUGAACUGGACUGUGUGUUUACAGGUAGUUGGGCCUGCCGUCAUCCACUUUGAACUGGACUGUGUGUUUACAGGUAGUUGGGCCUGCCGUCAUUCACUUUGAACUGGACUGUGUGUUUACAGGUAGUUGGGCCUGCCAUCAUUCACUUUGAACUGGACUGUGUGUUUACAGGUAGUUGCAACCGCGCAACUUCAGAUCAUUAGAACGCAUUCGCCAAAAGCCACAAAAUACACCUGAAUAGAUUUCUGCAAAUACUGUAUGUAAAACACAACGGGAGUCCUCUUACAUUUGGGAACUUUACAGUCCUAUUGAUCAAACAACCAUGAAAAAUUAGGCUCUCUCUCCCUCAGUGAUACACGUCAACAACAACAAGAUCAAAAACUAAUGCUAGCCAGAGCAAGAUGAGUUAAAUUCUAACUAAGGAACUUUAGAUAAACCCUGUCAAACUUUUUCAGCUAGUUGGCCAUCGAAAUUGCACUGAUAAACGAUGGGGAAUAGCCGCCUCGUCCUUCUGCAGCUUGCCUGCCAAUGCAUGCUUGUCCCAACCAAACACACAUGCUAACUGGCUAAAGUUGGCUAGCUUGCUAGCUAGCUACUUCCAGACGCAAAUGAAAGAACACCUCACUCUGACCAUUUUACUCAUCAUAGCAGAGCUGGUUAUCUAGAGUGUUCUUGACUAACUAUAACUUUUUUUACCUAUCUUUACUGACACCGGUCAUAUUCAGCAGGUGUUGCGCGUUCAUAAAUGCAUCAGUUGUUCUGCGCCUCGACACACUUAGACGAGAGUGCUCCGAGUGAAUUUGGAAUGCAAGACAUAUAACAGUUGUUGAAGUUCUUGCUAGCUAACCAAAUGACACCUGCAUCUUUAGCUGUGUAUAGACACCCGAAAACGAUAUGAGGGGAAAAAGUCAGUCACUUACCCACUCCUCCAAUGGCAUGACAUGACUUUCUAGCAGCUAGCUAACUAUCUAGCUAAUGUUAGGCACUGUGUUUUUAGCUUGCUACAUUUAUAGAUAUGCUGUCUAUUAGCCACGUCAUGACUGACUUGUGAUCAUUGCCCUUGCUAGUUUGAUUGUAUUGACAUUCCCAGUUACAUUCGUCCGUUUUUGUCCAGAAUAUUGAGUAAUUGAAACUGAAACAGUGCAUCCUGAAUAGAGGCAGCAAACAGUGUACCAGUCCAGCUGUGAUUUACAACCUGAUAGCAAUAUGUUUUGAACUAUCAAGAAAUGCAUUGAUGAAUUAUAUUAAUCAUGCAUUGAACUUCAUCCAUCUAUUCUGCCAACAAUACCUUAGUGUACAUCAUGGAACAUUGAGUCAAAUAGAACCUCUUUAUAAAACCUAUUUUAAAGUAGGUUAAGUAGCAUAAAGUGGGAAUUUCUGAUAUUAUGAUUGUCUGUUUCAUAUCUGCAAAGUAGUUAAAACACUGUCAGUUCCACUGUAAACUUUAGGUCACCGGUUACUUUGUGUGCUCAACGUGAAAUGUUUUUUUUGCAAUGGGAAGUAAUAGUUGUACAUUUAGAUUGGAAAAUGCUUAAUAAUUGUGUUUUUGUAUUCUUUUGAUUGGGACCUACUGGCUUAUGAUGUCUGAGUUUAUGGACUGCUUAUCCUUUAACAUGUCACACACAGAAAGCCUACAGGUUAGCCACUGCGUGAACAUGUCUAUUAUAAAUCAAAUGUUAUUGGUCACACACACGUGUUUAGCGGAUGUUAUUGCGGGUGUAGCGAAAUGCUUAUACUGUAGAUAUAAAGGCUGUUAAGAUAAUGUUUCAAGAAAUGUGUGUAUAUUUUUGGCCUGUAGAAGCGGUUUUAUGGGCUGACUGAAUGUAAGCUGAUAAUUAUGAGUUUUUUUACUCCGCUGGUCUCGGCUGGUCUGGGAACAAAUUGUGAUGCUACAUGCUAAUUAGCUGUCAGUGCUGUUUCCGUACUUUGGGGAAUUCGCAUUGGCAUCAGAGAGAGCAGAGAGCCAGCAAUACUCAGCCAAACAGUAAUACCUGCAUAUGGCUACAGCACACACACGCGCAUGCGAGAGAGAGGAAGAGAGAAGAUCUAUUUCUGUGUGAGAUUAGUCGGAACUGGGAGCCCUGGCCGAGCCCUGAUCUGGAGAGUUAUUAAAGAGUGGGAUUAAAGUUGAAGGACCCAGUAACAACCUAAGAAAAGGUUCCUGCUACAGCACUGCCUCAUACGAUUCCCUUCAACGAGAAAGGUAAGGACAGUGAAGACUUGUCCAAGCCCCAUGGGCAAAUGCCUAGGCUUUAAAUCAGUGGGCUAACACAGCCAACCAAGGUUAGAACCCAGACAUUCACACUUACGUUACAAAGACAAACCACAAUUAGAGAAGUUUCAUUUUUGAAUUGUCAGUUUCAUUCUAGUAUAGAAAAUACAUGUCCUCUGGCAUGUUCCAUACAUGGUUUUUACAAAACUACACAUUUUUAUGGGUUCACAUGCAUCUUAAAAUAGAUCUUUGACACUAAAAUAAAACACAUUGUCAUUCCUUCAGGACGACACAUAAAAGUAUUUUAAAUUACCUUGAUGAUGGCCACAUUUCCACAAUUACAUUGUAACAGGUGGCGAUGUAAGGGACUGGGUGAGAACCAUGAGCCUCCUAGGUUUUGCAUUGAAGCCAAUGUACCCAGGGGAGGACAGAAGCUACAGUUGAAGUCGGACGUUUACAUACACCUUCACCAAAUACAUUUAAACUCAGUUUUUCACAAUUCCUGACAUUUAAUCCUAGUAAAAAUUCCCUGUCUUUGGUCAGUUUGUCACGACUUCCGCCGGAGUAGGUACCUCUCCUUGUUCGAGCGGCGUUCGAGCGGCGUUCGGCGGUCGACGUCACCGGCCUUCUAGCCAUCACCGAUCCACUUUUAAUUUUCCAUUUGUUUUGUCUUUGGUUUUUACACACCUGGUUUCAAUUCCCCAAUUACAUGUUCAUUAUUUAACACUCUGUUUUCCCCCAUGUUUGUGUGCGUGUUUGUUUUAUUGUAAGGCUGUAUCUGACGGCUGGUAUAUUGUUACCGGGUUUUGUAUUUACGCCCAU